CGGAAGUCACAUCUGUGACAGUUGGUGUUCAAACUGUUGAAUAAAAGGAGAUAUAAGGGAAUAGCAGGCAGAACCAGGACUGAGGAGGACCAGAUCAGCCGUGUUUCUGUGGACCUGAAGAGAGCUCAGCAGGUGGAGGCUCUGCUAUGGACCAGUGUGAGGACAGAGAGGAGGGAGACCCCCCCUCUCUGUGUGGGGAACAUGACAGCCAGACCAAAGCUCAGAGACCAGAGGACAUACCACAUUCUGCUGGACCUGGACCUGGACCUGAAGCUGGACCUGAACCUGCUGAACCUGGACCUGGACCUGAAGCU